UUUCAAGUAGUAAAGUGGUAAGUAUCCUCACCUGUCAUGUGGGAGACUGGGGUUCAAUUCCACGCUUGAGAG